CCUACGGGAGGCAGCAGUGAGGAAUAUUGGUCAAUGGACGAGAGUCUGAACCAGCCAAGUAGCGUGAAGGAUGACUGCCCUAUGGGUUGUAAACUUCUUUUAUAUGGGAAUAAAAUGUUCCACGUGUGGGAUGUUGGAUGUACCAGAUGAAUAAGGAGCGGCUAACUCCGUGCCAGCAGCCGCGGUAAUACGGAGGAUCCGAGCGUUAUCCGGAUUUAUUGGGUUUAAAGGGAGCGUAGGUGGAUUGUUAAGUCAGUUGUGAAAGUUUGCGGCUCAACCGUAAAAUUGCAGUUGAAACUGGCAGUCUUGAGUACCGUAGAGGUGGGCGGAAUUCGUGGUGUAGCGGUGACAUUCUUAGAUAUCACGAAGAACUCCGAUUGCGAAGGCAGCUCACUGGACUGCACCUGCCACUGAGGCUCGACAGUGUGGGUAUCAAACAGGAUUAGAUACCCCAGUAGUC
rnacentral:rRNA from 1 species